rnacentral:rRNA from 1 species
UACGGAGGGUGCAAGCGUUAAUCGGAAUUACUGGGCGUAAAGCGUGCGCAGGCGGUUUUGUAAGUCUGAUGUGAAAUCCCCGGGCUCAACCUGGGAAUUGCAUUGGAGACUGCAAGGCUAGAAUCUGGCAGAGGGGGGUAGAAUUCCACGUGUAGCAGUGAAAUGCGUAGAGAUGUGGAGGAACACCGAUGGCGAAGGCAGCCCCCUGGGUCAAGAUUGACGCUCAUGCACGAAAGCGUGGGGAGCAAACAGG